rnacentral:rRNA from 1 species
CCUACGGGGGGCUGCAGUAGGGAAUAUUGCUCAAUGGGGGAAACCCUGAAGCAGCAACGCCGCGUGGAGGAUGAAGGUUUUCGGAUUGUAAACUCCUUUUGUUAGAGAAGAUAAUGACGGUAUCUAACGAAUAAGCACCGGCUAACUCCGUGCCAGCCGCCGCGGUAAUACGGAGGAUGCGAGCGUUAUCCGGAUUUAUUGGGUUUAAAGGGUGCGUAGGCGGACAGUCAAGUCAGCGGUAAAAAUGCGGUGCUCAACGCCGUACAGCCGUUGAAACUGGCAGUCUUGAGUGGGCGAGAAGUAUGCGGAAUGCGUGGUGUAGCGGUGAAAUGCAUAGAUAGCACGCAGAACUCCGAUUGCGAAGGCAGCAUACCGGCGCCCGACUGACGCUGAGGCACGAAAGCGUGGGUAUCGAACAGGAUUAGAUACCCGUGUAGUC